rnacentral:rRNA from 1 species
CCUACGGGAGGCAGCAGUGGGGAAUAUUGGGCAAUGGGCGCAAGCCUGACCCAGCAAUGCCGCGUGAAGGAAGAAGGCUUUCGGGUUGUAAACUUCUUUGACAGGGGAAGAGCAGAAGACGGUACCCGGAAAACAAGCCACGGCUAACUACGUGCCAGCAGCCGCGGGAAUACGUAGGUGGCAAGCGGUGUCCGGAUUUACUGGGUGUAAAGGGCGUGUAGCCGGGAAGGCAAGUCAGAUUUUCAAUCUGGCGGCUCAACCUCCAAAUUGCAUUUGAAACUGUUGUUCUUGAGUACUGGAGAGGCAGACGGAAUUCCUUGUGUAGCGGUGAAAUGCGUAGAUAUAAGGAGGAACACCAGUGGCGCGGGCGGUCUGCUGGACAGCAACUGACGGUGAGGCGCGAAAGCGUGGGGAGCAAACAGGAUUAGAUACCCCAGUAGUC